rnacentral:rRNA from 1 species
UUCGCCCUUUUCCGGUUGAUCCCGCCGGACCUGACUGCUAUCGGAUUGAUACUAAGCCAUGCGAGUCAUUGUAGCAAUACAAGGCAUACGGCUCAGUAACGCGUAGUCAACCUAACCUAUGGACGGGAAUAACCUCGGGAAACUGAGAAUAAUGCCCGAUAGAACACUAUGCCUGGAAUGGUUUGUGUUCCAAAUGAUUUAUCGCCGUAGGAUGGGACUGCGGCCUAUCAGUUUGUUGGUGAGGUAAUGGCCCACCAAGACUAUUACAGGUACGGGCUCUGAGAGGAGUAGCCCGGAGAUGGGUACUGAGACACGGACCCAGGCCCUAUGGGGCGCAGCAGGCGAGAAAACUUUGCAAUGUGCGAAAGCACGACAAGGUUAAUCCGAGUGGUUUGUGCCAAACAGACCUUUUGUUAGUCCUAGAAACACUAACGAAUAAGGGGUGGGCAAGUUCUGGUGUCAGCCGCCGCGGUAAAACCAGCACCUCAAGUGGUCAGGAUGAUUAUUGGGCCUAAAGCAUCCGUAGCCGGCUCUGUAAGUUUUCGGUUAAAUCUGUAUGCUCAACAUACAGGCUGCCGGGAAUACUGCAGAGCUAGGGAGUGGGAGAGGUAGACGGUACUCGGUAGGAAGGGGUAAAAUCCUUUGAUCUAUUGAUGACCACCUGUGGCGAAGGCGGUCUACCAGAACACGUCCGACGGUGAGGGAUGAAAGCUGGGGGAGCAAACCGGAUUAGAUACCCGGGUAGUCCCAGCUGUAAACUAUGC